rnacentral:rRNA from 1 species
AUUGAACGCUGGCGGCAGGCUUAACACAUGCAAGUCGAGCGAGCGGCGGACGGGUGAGUAAUGUCUGGGAAACUGCCUGAUGGAUGGGGAUAACUACUGGAAACGGUAGCUAAUACCGCAUACCAUCGGAUGUGCCCCGAUGGGAUUAGCUAGUUGGUGGGGUAAAGGCUCACCUAGGCGACGAUCCCUAGCUGGGCUGAGAGGAUGACCAGCCAACCUGGAACGAAGACACGGUCAAGACUGCUACGGGAGGCAGCAGUUGGGAAUAUUGCACUAUGGGCGCAAGCCUUAUGAAGCCAUGACGCGUGUGGGAAGAAGGCCUUCGGGUUGUAAAGCACUUUCAGCGAGGAGGCGUUACGCGCAGAAGAAGCACCGGCUAACUCCGUGCCAGAAGCCGCGGUAAUAG